rnacentral:misc_RNA from 1 species
GUGAAUCAUCGAAUUUUUGAACGCAAAUUGCACUCUCUUCGUAGAGGAUGCCUGUCUGAGGGUCAGCCUAAAAAAAAUUGACAUAGUUGCUGUUUCGCGUUGACGUUCGUCUGAAAUUGGGUCAUCUUAAACCUUUUGGUUUUAAGCGGAUUAAAAUUUUCUUGACGAUUCCACGAACGUUUCUAAGAUUUACUUCUUACACGUUUAAGGUAUCGAUCUGUAUUAGACGUGGCCGUUGCAUCGGAUCACGUCCAUAAAUAUUUCGUCUACU